GCAGAGGUGUCUAGCUGUGAGUCUCUCUACAGACGGCAGAGGUGGCUAACUGUGAGUCUCUCUACAGACAGCAGAGGUGUCUAACUACCUGCUGAUACCCUCGUGGCCAUGAUUGUUCUGGGAUGUCUCGGUUUCUUCAUCUUAUUUCCAUGUGCUGUGAAGAGCGUGACCUUCCAGCAGUCUCCGUCUGUCAUGGUUACAGAGAACGCCAGUGUAAAAAUCUUGUGUAGCCAUGACGACAGCAACUUGGUGAUCAUGCUGUGGUACCAGCAGCGACCUGUUUCUCGGGAUAUGACCCUCAUCGGGUACGGUUAUGCCUCCUCCGAGCCCAGCUACGAGGGUCAGUUCCAGGAGAGCUUCCAGCUCACCAGAGAGGACAUCCUGAGAGGAGCGCUCGUCCUCCCCCGCGCAGCUCCUGCAGACUCGGCCGUGUAUUUCUGUGCUGCCAGUACACAGUGAUGUGGCUUGAUGCCACCGCCUCACCAAAACCCUGGUGCGCUCAGUCACACAGGAAAACCACCUCACUGCUGUUAGGGAGUUUGGUUGUUUUGUUUUAGACGUUU